rnacentral:rRNA from 1 species
UGAGGAAUAUUGGUCAAUGGGCGGAAGACUGAACCAGCCAAGCCGCGUGAAGGAAGAAGGCCUUCGGGUUGUAAACUUCUUUUAAGAGGGACGAAGAAAGUGACGGUACCUCUUGAAUAAGCCACGGCUAACUACGUGCCAGCAGCCGCGGUAAUACGAAGGGGGCGAGCGUUGUUCGGAAUUACUGGGCGUAAAGGGUGUGUAGGUGGACGUGUAAGAUAGCGGUGAAAUGCCGGAGCUCAACUUCGGAAUUGCCAUUAUAACUAUGCGUCUAGAAUUAUAGAGAGGAUAGCGGAAUACCCAGUGUAGAGGUGAAAUUCGUAGAUAUUGGGUAGAACACCAGUGGCGAAGGCGGCUAUCUGGCUAUAUAUUGACACUGAGGCACGAAAGCAUGGGGAUCAAACAGGAUUAGAUACCC